AGUCCAGGUAAUGGAGCAGAGACUGGAGCAGAGACAAGUUGUUCCCACUGAGCUCUCCUCAGAUUACAGAUUGGGAGUGGCAAAUCAAAGGCAUUGCAGCCUCUUUCAUCACUGCCGAUUGCUGAUGCCAACCAUGUGCCAAGUGCUUAAUACGUCACCUUAAAUCUUCUCAUCCACCCUCAGAGUAGCUGCAGCAUCAACCCAGUGCCCUGACUUUCAAGACGACUAUGAAAACACCCCAACUGCUGCUAAAUUACCAGCAACAAGGAUCUGACAUUCUUAUUCAAAAGAAAGAACACCGAAAUUGACCUUACCCUGACAAUAUGAUGGCUGAAGGAUUUAUGAUCACUUAUAACAUUUGAAAUUGAGGCGGAACCUGAAGAAUAAGACUCUGGUGAAAGGUCCUAUUUAUGCUUUUGAUGUCUUUCACUUGGACAUUUACCACAUGCCUAUUGGUAGGUUUGUUACAUAGGUCAGUUAAGGUGAUACAAGAAUAAAUAAAACACUAUCCCUAUCCUUUAAUAUCAUUUAUUUAUGGGGUCAAUCACAGAUUUUCAUUUUUCAAAAUCUUUGAUAAAUGUCAGAAUUAUGUUUUUUAAUAUUUUUACAGAAUUAUUACAAUAUAUGGUAGAGGAUGGAAGGCAAGGUAGUAUGAAACGGAAAAGAUAUUUUGAAUUAAGGUAUUUGGACCUGGAUUAAUAUUUUUGCUUUGGUCUUUAUUAGCUGAGUGACCUUGAGAAAGUUCUUCUACUAAAAAAGAACAAAGAUAAUAAUUACUUCAUGAAAUUGCUGUAAAAAACACAUAACAAGUAUAUCCAGACUCAACAGUGUAUGCUCAAAAAUGCAGAUCCUUUUUCCCUUACCUGCAAAUAAAGUCUUACAGUAAUACAGUGGGGGUAAAGGUUUAAACUGGUGGAUUCAAGAAGGGCUAUAGAAAGAGGUAGCAUCUUAAUAGGGGAAGGAGAGGAUCCAAGAAAUCAGAUCCAUUUUCUACAAAAAGAAAUGGGAAGACAGAUAAUUCAAGAAGAAAAGUUUACAUGAUUAAAGACCCGAAGUUAGAAAUAGUGAUGUGUCUCAAUAGUAAGUUAGGAAUUGGGGUGGACACAAUUGUUGGAAGAAGGAUGGUUUCAGCAAAGGCCCAAGUUAGGUGACAAUUUCAAGUGUUUGUGAAGAUAUAUGAACAAAAUUAUAAAGUAGUUAGGGUAUAAGAAAUAGGGAGGAGGGAAUGAAUUAACAUUUAUGGAGUGUCUUGCAUGUUCCAAGCACUGUACUACUUGCCUUAUAAACCUUUCUUCAAUAAACGCCUACAACAA
rnacentral:lncRNA from 1 species